GGGGGUGAUUCGGAUUCGACGACGGUAUCGAACCCUUAGGUGCAUGCCGAGGGCGUAGUGGUUCUCGUUAAUCAAAACACUACAAACCUAUUAGUUGCCACAUUGACAACUACUGGAAGUGCAAACGACGAGUUCUUUGACGCUCGUCUUCGUGCUUAAUCGUAGCUAAACCCUACGAGCUUCCCAGUCCGUCCGGCUCGUCUGCUGGCUGGUUUUUCGGACUGUCAUCGUAAGCGGACUCGCCACGUUCAGCAGGUCUCUGGCUGACGGGUUAAAACUUGUGGGAAUCGCGCUGCAGAACCCCGACCACUGGGUCGCUGUGGUGUUAAAUUUAAACGUGGAUCUAAGCAUGUAAAGCCGAAGGCUGAGAGCUGGCGGACGCGGGUUCGACUCCCGCCGCCUCCACCA
rnacentral:tmRNA from 10 species